UACGUAGGGGGCUAGCGUUGUCCGGAUUUAUUGGGCGUAAAGAGCGUGUAGGCGGCCAUGUAGGUCCGGUGUGAAAACUCGAGGCUUAACCUCGAGAUGUCAUCGGAAACCAUUUGGCUAGAGUCCGGAAGAGGAGAGUGGAAUUCCUGGUGUAGCGGUGAAAUGCGUAGAUAUCGGAAGGAACACCAGUGGCGAAAGCGGCUUCCUGGUCCAGCACCGACGUUCAGGCACGAAAGCGUGGGGAGCAAACAGG
rnacentral:rRNA from 1 species